CCCACUCCACACUCGGUAUUUCUGUGUGUGUGUCUUUAAUUCCUCUAGCACUGCUGGGUUAGGGUCUCCACAAUCGAGCUGGUGUCAGCAUUAGUUAAUAGAUUUCUACUUCUCUAACUUCACUUGGAUAUUAAUAUGUUAAUUAAUAGAUUUCUACUUCUUUAGAUUCACUUUCAUUUUGGUCCUUUGAUUUAGCCAUGUUUUUUGGUUACUUUAAUGUUUUGUGGUUUUCCUGAUAUUUUGAUCAAGUAAGAAACAGCUACCUAUUCUAUUUUUUAUGGAAUGCAUUUUUACAGAUGAAAACUGAUACCCAUCAGGCACUCUAGUCACUCUGGGAAAUUCUUCAAACUGUUGUCAGGAUGUCUUCUCUGGACUACUGUGUGUAUUUUCCUAUUAAAAAGAUUUGCCUUUUUUUCUCUUAAGAGCCUUUCAUCUCCCCCUUUGGUGAGUGUCAUAGUCACUACUUUCUUUCUGUUGUGGAAAUAAGCAUUCAUCUUUGUUCUCAGUUGACCCGACAUGUCAUUUCAACUCUAUCACCAUUUUCUUCAGCACCACAUAUUAAAGGAAGCAAUGAACAACCUUUAGCCCCAGAAUAACCCAGAACUUUGGACAUAUGUUUUAUCCUUUUUUUUUCUUAGCUGAGGGCAAACAGAAUGUGAAAAAUUUCUGUGUAACUGCGCUGUGCUGUGGUGCACAAAUACAACAAAUUUUCUUCCUUCUAAAUGCAACCAUUCUUGGCUCUGUGUUCACCUAGGCACUGAAAACUCAACUGGCUUUAGUCACGCUACUAUAUUUAAGUUCAUAUAUCAGUUGAGAAAACAAAGGGACCUCAAGUUUUUGAUUCAACUAUCAUGGUGUCCUCAAUGUGGUAUAAUUUUGUAUAUUACAUUUAUAAAGUAUUUUCACCUGAAUUUAGUAAUUGGAAUUUUUAAAACUUUUGGUAUCUUUCAGAUAUGUUUUCUCAUGAUACUCAAUAUUGGAUAGAUACGGGAGCUGUGGCCCUCAGAAUUUACACUUAAGGAAAGAGUGGGAAAGUGAGGGGCCUGCUUUGACGAUCCCGCGGGCCGGGAUAUGUGGCGCCUGAACAGGGACCUGGAAACGAGGGACUCCGUGAGGAAGAGGACGCCAAAGGACGGUCGACCGCUAACGAAGACAAAAGAAA